GAUGAACGCUGGCGGCGUGCCUAAUACAUGCAAGUCGAGCGAACAGACGAGGAGCUUGCUCCUCUGACGUUAGCGGCGGACGGGUGAGUAACACGUGGAUAACCUACCUAUAAGACUGGGAUAACUUCGGGAAACCGGAGCUAAUACCGGAUAAUAUACUGAACCGCAUGGUUCAAUAGUGAAAGACGGUUUUGCUGUCACUUAUAGAUGGAUCCGCGCCGCAUUAGCUAGUUGGUAAGGUAACGGCUUACCAAGGCAACGAUGCGUAGCCGACCUGAGAGGGUGAUCGGCCACACUGGAACUGAGACACGGUCCAGACUCCUACGGGAGGCAGCAGUAGGGAAUCUGCCGCAAUAGGCGGAAGCUUGACGGAGCAACGCCGCGUGAGUGGUGAAGGUCUUCGGAUCGUGAAACUCUGUUAUUAGGGGAGAACAAAUGUGGAAGUAACUAUGCACGUCUUGACGGUACCUAAUCAGAAAGCCACGGCUAACUACGUG
rnacentral:rRNA from 1 species